AUUGAACGCUGGCGGCAUGCUUUACACAUGCAAGUCGAACGGGCUUGGGGGCUUGCUCCCAAGUUAGUGGCGAACGGGUGAGUAAUACAUCGGAACGUACCGUGUAGUGGGGGAUAACGUAGCGAAAGUUACGCUAAUACCGCAUACGAUCUACGGAUGAAAGCAGGGGACCUUCGGGCCUUGUGCUAUACGAGCGGCCGAUGUCUGAUUAGCUGGUUGGUGAGGUAAAGGCUCACCAAGGCGACGAUCAGUAGCGGGUCUGAGAGGAUGAUCCGCCACACUGGGACUGAGACACGGCCCAGACUCCUACGGGAGGCAGCAGUGGGGAAUUUUGGACAAUGGGCGAAAGCCUGAUCCAGCCAUGCCGCGUGUCUGAAGAAGGCC
rnacentral:rRNA from 1 species